rnacentral:lncRNA from 1 species
CCUUCACGUCCCCCUCGCCUCCUCCCCCUCUCCUCCUCCUCCUCCCACCUUCACGUCCCCCUCUCCUCCUCCUCCUCUCCUCCUCCUCCUCCCACCUUCACGUCCCCCUCUCCUCCUCCUCCCGUCCUCCUCCUCCCACCUUCACGUCCCCCUCUCCUCCUCCUCCUCCCACCUUCACGUCCCCCUCUCCUUCUCCCCCUCUCUUCCUCCUCCCACCUUCACGUCCCCCCUCUCCUCCUCCCCCUCUCCUCCUCCUCCUCCCACCUUCACGUCCCCCCCUCUCCUCCUCCCCCUCUCCUCCUCCUCCUCCUCCUCCCACCUUCACCUCCCCCUCUCCUCCUCCUCCUCCCACCUUCAUGUCCCCCUCUCCUCCUCCUCCUCUCCUCCUCUUCCUCCUCUCCUCUCUGUACGACAUGACUCUAUGUUACAGUGUCUAUGUCCUUAACUAUUUUCUUGUUACUUACUGUAUAUGAACAUCAUGUAUACAAACAUAAAUUUUGCCUUGGCUGCUAUAAAGAGAGAUAUUUUAUUCCAAAGCCAGAUAUUGUGGUGUAGAGUGCAUUACAUACAUCUGUUUAUUUGAGAUUGUUGAUCCAUAAAAUAUACAUAUUGAUAGACUUUCUUUUAAUAUGAAAAAAGAAAGUAAGCUAUAUUUCAUACAUUCAGGGCUUGGAAAGGAAUGGCAUGAACAAAAACAGUCUGUUUUAAGCAAUUUGCUUCUAGGCUAUAGCCUAGUUUUUUUUCAUGUGAAUAUCUUGUAUUAAAGUGUUGUAGUUGAAUAUGCUUUGUGCUGCUACUUCUGCAUCCGCCAAGUGUAACAGCACCCACUAUCUGAGAGGAGGACCUGGCUUGAUCUGAGAGGAGGACCUGGCUUGAUCUGAGAGGAGCAUUACUCCAUCAUGGGAUCACCUUCACCUCCUAGCCUGACAAACAUUAUAUACAACCUGCGUCCCAGAUGGUGCCCUAUUCCCUAACGUAGUGCACUACUUUGGACAACAGUCCUAUGGGCCCUAUUCCCUAAUGUAGUGCACUACUUUGGACCACAUCCCUAUGGGCCCUAGCCAAAUAUAGUGCACUAUAAAGGGAAUAUGAUGACAUUUGUGACACAGCCACAGUCUAUGGUGACCAAGCAUAGUGUUUUACAUCACCAGUCGCAUAUACAAAGGCAGGAUAUGUAAGAGGCUCCUCCCACUGUACCUGUCUCGUCACAGACAACCAAUGAAGGCUUGGUAGCUAGCUAUCCGUCUGACUAGACGUUGGUAUUGUCUGUUAAAGGCAUGUGCUAGUAUUUAUAUCACAAGUCACUGAGAGCCACUGAAAAUGGCCCCCUAUUCCAUAUAUACUGCAUUACUUUUGAGCAUAGCUCGAGCCCUGGCCAAAGUAAUGCAGUACAUAGGGAAUAGGGCCCUGGCCUAAAGUAGUGCACUACAUAGGGAAUAGGGCCCUGACCUAAAGUAGUGCACUACAUAGGGAAUAGGGCCCUGGCCAAAGUAGUGCACUACAGGGAAUAGGGACCUGGCCAAAGUAGUGCACUACAUAGGGAAUAGGGCCCUGGCCAAAGUAGUGCACUACAUAGGGAAUAGGGUCCUGGCCAAAGUAGUGCACUACAUAGGGAAUAGAGCCCUGGCCAAAGUAGUGCACUGCAUAGGGAAUAGGGCCCUGGCCAAAGUAGUGCACUACAUAGGGAAUAGAGCCCUGGCCAAAGUAGUGCACUACAUAGGGAAUAGGGCCCUGGCCAAAGUAGUGUACUACAUAGGGAAUAGGGUACCAUUUGGGUUACUCCUCUAGUGAGGCCUUUCCAAACACCAGCAUAGGUGCAUGUCUCUCUGGUAGCUAGAUAGAAAGAACACCUAACAUGCAUUUACCGUGGAUUCAACUAUUUCCUACAUAAUGAAGUCAGACAACCAAAUAUUUAUUUACAACAGAUAUAGUGAGAUGUAGAGGCUAACGUUAGAUUGUUUUAUAUAGAUUUUGUACAUUGUUUUUUGUACAUAAAGGCACUAUGUCAAUGAUAUUCUAAUGCUGUCUCUUGGAGAAGGGACCACAUGCUUUUUGUUGUUGUUGUUGAAUGGAUUAAAAAUUCAGCUCCCUGAUCAACUGAAAUGAAAUUCAGAAUGACUGUUUGAAAAAACCUUCGUCGUGAACAAUCUAGAACAUUCUAUGGAACUGUAGAAUCACAAAACAACUGAAAGGACUGAAUAAGCUGAUGACUGUUUUGAGAUGAACCGUCUCCAACUAGUAAACAUAGAUUUACUUUUGUAAAACUGGGUAUUUUUUAUAAGUAGUACAGAGAAACUUUUCAAUGAGUGAAUUUAGACUAUAUUCUUUUGAUAAUAAUUAUGGUUGCAAAUAAAUAAAUAAAAUCAUAAUAAUGUUUUGCAGAUUAUUCAAUAUUUGGAUGUGUUCGGUAAACAGUACUUUUAUUGUAAACAAUAUAUUGUUUUUGUUUAUAUGCCAACUAUUCUGUACUGCUUGUUUGACAUUCUCCAAUAUUUUGUUCUUCACCUAGUGCCAAUGUAGUUCCACAUUGUAGUGAUGCAUGUAUCUGAAUGGAGGGCUUCCUUACAAGUCAUAUGGUACAGUGUAAGGGCUGUCUUCAGGAAUGGACCAAAAUGCAGCGGAGUUAGUAUUCAUCUUUCAAUUUAAUUAGAAAGAACACUAUAACAAACAAAACUGAGAAAACCGACAGCCAACAGCCCUGUCAGGUGCAAACACACUAAACAAGAAACAAUUACCCACAACCCCAAAGAAAACACACACUACUAUAUAGGACUCCCAAUCAAAGGCAACUCAACACACCUGCCUUCAAUUGGGAGUCCAACCUCAAUUAACUAACACAUAACACAAAAACUCUGCCACGUCCUGACCAAAACUAAUACAAUUACGCCCUUUGCUGGUCAGGACGUGACAUACAGGUAUACUAUCGUUCAAAAGUUUUGGUCACUGAGAAAUGUCCUUGUUUUUUUUUAAAGAAAAGCACAUUUGUUUGUCCAUUAAAAUAACAUCAAAUUGAUCAGAAAUACAGUGUAGACAUUGUUAAUGUUGUAAAUGACUAUUGUAGGGGGAAACGAUUUUUUAUGGAAUAUCUACAUAGGCAUACAGAGGCCCAUUAUCAGCAACCAUCACUCCUGUGUUCCAAUGGCAUGUUGUGUUAGCUAAUCCAUGUUUAUCAUUUUAAAAGGCUAAUUGAUCAUUAGAAAACCCUUUCACAAUUAUGUUAGCACAGCUGAAAACUGUUGUCCUGAUUAAAGAAGUAAUAAAACUGGCCUUCUUUAGACUAGUUGAGUAUCUGGAGCAUCAGCAUUUGUGGGUUCGAUUACAGGCUCAAAAUGGCCAGAAACAAAGACAUUUCUUCUGAAACUCAUCAGUCUAUUCUUGUUCUGAGAAAUGAAGGCUAUUCCAAGCGAGAAAUUGCCAAGAAACUGGAGAUCUCGUACAACGCUGUGUUCUACUCCCUUCACAGAACAGUGCAAACGGGCUCUUACCAGAAUAAAAAGAGGAGUGGGAGGCCCCGGUGCACAACUGAGCAAGAGGACAAGUACAUUAGAGUGUCUAGUUUGAGAAACAGACACCUCACAAGUCCUCAACUGGCAGCUUCAUUAAAUAAACUCAGCAAAAAGGAAACGUCCUCUCACUGUCAACUGCGUUUAUUUUCAGCAAAUUUAACAUGUGUAAAAUUUGUAUGAACAUAAGAGUCAACAACUGAGACAUAAACUGAAC